GGAAAGCCAGCUUGAGCCAUACUGUACCAACUAUCCUGCUAUACUGUGCCAACAUUUAGCACAGGAGUUAGCCUAGCCCAAUAUACAAAAAAGGAGCCGGGGAGAUGGGGCAAUAUUCUGAGGAAAAAACUUUCAAGGUAAAUUUUUGAGAAAAAGACUCACAAAUUUAGGAGAAAAAAGAUGACAAAAACAAGACAAAAUACAAAAACACAACAUAUAACACUCAUAGAUCCAGUGGAGGCAGAGGGCAGAAUGGGAACCGCUGGUGAUGUAAACAGGAAGUCCCCUGUAGACCAGACUGUCCCAUUUCAGAGACCGCUUGGUCCAGCCUUCAUGGACCACAAAGGCUGGGUCCUGGGAAGGCUGCAGCCCCUGAAUUGAGGCACAGCAACAGUAUGUUGACUGUGAAGACCCGCCCCUAUUCUGCCUGUGAUUGGCUAACCCAACCCUAACUCUUUACUUAACCAGCCUACCCAAUGAAGGCAACCAUUUAGAGGCACAUUAGGACAGUAUGUUGGCCCAGCAAGUCAAUUUAAUCUCCUCCCACACCAUGUCAGCCCAGCCUGCCAUUUCCUCACCUGCCCUGUCUGUUCCCCACAAUAAAAUCAAAUCCUUGUGUUUCAUUUUAAA